AUUUUCUGCCACCGAAUACAUUAGCAUGGGAUAAUGGAAUAGGACCCUGUCCUCCUAUUUUCAGUUGGUUUUGGCAGCGCGAGGACUAGGGUAAUGAUUAAUAGGGAUAGUUGGGGGCAUUAAUAUUUAAUUGUCAGAGGUGAAAUUCUUGGAUUUAUGAAAGAUUAACUUCUGCGAAAGCAUCUGCCAAGGAUGUUUUCAUUAAUCAAGAACGAAAGUUAGGGGAUCGAAGACGAUCAGAUACCGUCGUAGUCUUAACCAUAAACGAUGCCGACCAGCGAUUAGGAGACGUUGAAUACAAAACACCACCAUCGGCGCGGUCGCCCUUGGCGUUCGUGUUCACGCACGGGCGCGAGGGCGGCUUAGCCCGAUGGCACCGGUGAAUGACUCCCCUAGC
rnacentral:rRNA from 1 species